UACAGGGGGGGCAAGCGUUGUUCGGAAUUACUGGGCGUAAAGGGCUUGUAGGUGGCCAACUAAGUCACACGUGAAAUCCCCAGGCUUAACCUGGGAACUGCGUGUGAUACUGGAUGGCUUGAAUCCGGGAGAGGGAUGCGGAAUUCCAGGUGUAGCGGUGAAAUGCGUAGAUAUCAGGAGGAACACCGGUGGCGAAGGCGGCUACCUGGACAGAAACUGACGCUGAGGCGCGAAAGCUAGGGGAGCAAACAGG
rnacentral:rRNA from 1 species